GACGAACGCUGGCGGCGUGCUUAACACAUGCAAGUCGAACGGAAAGGCCCUGCUUUUGUGGGGUGCUCGAGUGGCGAACGGGUGAGUAACACGUGAGUAACCUGCCCUUGACUUUGGGAUAACUUCAGGAAACUGGGGCUAAUAGCGGAUAGGAGCUCCUGCCGCAUGGUGGGGGUUGGAAAGUUUCGGCGGUUGGGGAUGGACUCGCGGCCUAUCAGCUUGUUGGUGGGGUAGUGGCUUACCAAGGCUUUGCGGGGUAGCCUGGCUGGGAGGGUGAGCGGCCCCACUGGGACUGAAAUGCGGCACGGACUCCUCCGGGAGGGAGGAGUGGAGAAGAGAGCAUAAUGGGCGGAGGCAAAGUGCAGCAACGCCGCGUGGGGGAUGUGAGCCUUCCGGUUGUAUACCACUGCCGCCUGUGACGAAACGUUAGUGACGGUAAUGGGUAAAGAAGCACCGGCUAACUACGUG
rnacentral:rRNA from 1 species